rnacentral:rRNA from 1 species
UACGUAGGUGGCGAGCGUUGUCCGGAAUUACUGGGUGUAAAGGGCGUGUAGGCGGGGAUGUAAGUCAGAUGUGAAAUUCCACGGCUCAACCGUGGGGCUGCAUCUGAAACUAUGUCUCUUGAGUGCCGGAGAGGGAAGCGGAAUUCCUAGUGUAGCGGUGAAAUGCGUAGAUAUUAGGAGGAACACCAGUGGCGGAGGCGACUUACUGGACAGUUACUGACGCUGAGGCGCGAAAGCGUGGGGAGCAAAC